UUCUCCUAACAACCUCAAAAAUAUUUUUUUUUCAUUCAAAAUGUGAUUUCAAAUUUCGAAUCCCCAAUCAACUAGAAAAUAUAUCUCCUCUCAAUAACAUCAUUAAAAAUUUGAUUUUGAAUUUUGAAUCUCUAACCCACUUUCCAAAUAUCUCUCAACCCACUAAUACUUAUCCCUCAACUAACCACAUCCAACCCUACAAAUUUCUCGACGUUUUCUUAAAUCUCUCCCAUUUUAUUAUAAAUAGAGGACAAAAAAAGAUAAAAGAAGU
rnacentral:lncRNA from 1 species